rnacentral:rRNA from 1 species
AUGGCGACCGGCGCACGGGUGAGUAACGCGUAUCCAACCUGCCCUUUACUAUGGGACAGCCCGUCGAAAGGCGGAUUAAUACCGUAUGUUGUCAUGUUGAUGCAUAUUUUCAUGACCAAAGGCUUCGGCCGGUAAAGGAUGGGGAUGCGUCUGAUUAGCUUGCCGGCGGGGUAACGGCCCACCGGGGCGACGAUCAGUAGGGGUUCUGAGAGGAAGGUCCCCCACAUCGGAACUGAGACACGGUCCAAACUCCUACGGGAGGCAGCAG